rnacentral:rRNA from 1 species
GAUGAACGCUGGCGGCGUGCCUAAUACAUGCAAGUCGAGCGAACAGACGAGGAGCUUGCUCCUCUUACGUUAGCGGCGGACGGGUGAGUAACACGUGGAUAACCUACCUAUAAGCCUGGGAUAACUUCUGGAAACCGGAGCUAAUACCGGAUAAUAUAUUUAACCGCAUGGUUCAAUAGUGAAAGACGGUUUUGCUGUCCCUUAUAGAUGGCUCCGCUCCGCAUUAGCUAGUUGGUAAGGUAACGGCUUACCAAGGCAACGAUGCGUAGCCGACCUGAGAGGGUGAUCGGCCACACUGGAACUGAGAAACGGUCCAGACUCCUACGGGAGGCAGCAGUAGGGAAUCUUCCGCAAUGGGGGAAAGCCUGACGGAGAAACGCCGCGGGAGGGAGGAAGGUCUUCGGAUCGAAAAACUCUGUUAUUAGGGAAGAACAAAUGUGGAAGUAAAAAUGCACGUCGUGACGGUACCUAAUCAGAAAGCCACGGCUAACUACGUG